GUUACUCAGUUCUCUUACUCUUCUCAUUUUCCACAUCACUCAGUAACUCGAAUCCUUGCUUAAGCAUGAAAAUCUCAUUUCAGGCAUUUGCACAGUUGUGGUGGAUCAAUUUAAAAAGACCAAGGACAGAUCAGGAUAUUUGUCAGCAGAAUAGACAGAGAUGUGAGCAAACCAGGGGCUCAGCAACCUCUCCACUUCCUGCAUAUGUAAAAAGCUGUCUUGAGCAGAAGAGAUGCAUUACAGAUAUUCAAUGAUGAGAGACACAUGCAGCUCCUCCCAAAAGGGAAUGAACCUAGACCCAAGCUGGAUUUGGCCACUACACUGGAGUCACCUUCAUGACCUGAAAGUGUUGGGUCUCUGCAGAGGCAGGAAUCACAGAGGACUCCAGCAGGCAGGUGCCCAGCUCUUCAGGAAAACAUCACCAUGUAAAAUAUUUCACAAUGGCCCAUUUUCUCCCAGCUCUUUGUCAGCCACUCGAAUAAAACAUUUGAU
rnacentral:lncRNA from 1 species